UCAAACUUGGUCAUUUAGAGGAAGUAAAAGUCGUAACAAGGUUUCCGUAGGUGAACCUGCGGAAGGAUCAUUAUCGAAUGCAAUAUGGGGAUGUUGCUGGCCACAAUCUGUUGGCAAUGUGCACUCCUCUAUUCAACAUCCAACUUGUGCACACCGAGUAGGCCACAGAUUUGGUUCUAAUGGCCUAUGUUUCACAUACACAACACAAGUGAAAGAUUGUACUAUGAUUGUAAUAAAAUUACAACUUUCAACAAUGGAUCUCUUGGCUCUCCCAUCGAUGAAGAACGCAGC
rnacentral:misc_RNA from 1 species